UUCAACUUCUAAAGUGACCUGGUUCAAUCAAAAAGUUAGAAAUAUACUUUUCUAAGGUCACACAGCUAGUCUGUGUUGGAGCCAGAACUUGAAUCCAGAAAGUUUGGCUCCAGGGUAUGUCCAGGAAGCCUGUUUCCAUUCACAGGAGGUCCUGCACAUGCUGAGCCCUGAGGCCCUUCUCCAGAGGCAAGGUAGUGGUGGACUUGACAGUGACCUUGCAGAGAACAGCUGGGCCCAGAGAUAGGACACUUCCAAGGGUCUACAUAGAUGCUGGAGGUGGGAGAUCAGGCCCCUGUUCAACCUCUCCCACUCCAACACAGCUCCUGCUACCAGCAGCACCACCCCCAACCCCUCCUUGCGUCUUCUUAGAAGCUUGGGAGCCCUACUCUGCUGAUAGAGAACUUUCAAGAUGGCGCUAGCCCGUCCUUGUUCCGCUCAAGAAUCUCAUCAAUCCACGCACGGUAUCAUUGGGCUCAUGCCAGUUCUUUGCUCUGUGCUGCUCUGCCAUCUUUCUACUGCCCCAUUUCCCUGGGACAAGGCACAGGUCUGCCACCUAAGAACACAUCCAGCCAGCAAAAGAGGUGCCACUCUGCCCUUUGGCCAGCCCACUUCUCUUCAAGGCAGUCUUCCCUUGGCUUCACGAAGGGGACAGCACCCCUCCUGUCACCAGAUCACCUGCUCUGGGGAAACCCAGCUGCCAUGUUGUGAGGAUGCUCAGGCAGCCCAUGGAAGGGCUCACGGGGCGAGGAAGUGAGAUGUUCAACCAACUGCUAGCAAGAAACCGAGUCUUGCCAACAAGCACAUGAGUGAGCUUAGAAGCAGCCUCAUGUGACUCCAGUGCCGGCAGCCAGCUUGACUGCAACUUCACAAGAAACCCUGAGCCUCCACUAACCAGUUAAAUGGCUCCCCAAUUCCUAAUACAGAAAAACUG
rnacentral:lncRNA from 1 species